rnacentral:rRNA from 1 species
UGAGGAAUAUUGGACAAUGGGCGGAAGCCUGAUCCAGCCAUGCCGCGUGCAGGAUGACGGUCCUAUGGAUUGUAAACUGCUUUUGUACAGGAAGAAACCCUUCUUUGCGAAGAAGAUUGACGGUACUGUAAGAAUAAGGAUCGGCUAACUCCGUGCCAGCAGCCGCGGUAAUACGGAGGAUCCGAGCGUUAUCCGGAAUCAUUGGGUUUAAAGGGUCCGUAGGCGGUUUAAUAAGUCAGUGGUGAAAUCCCUACGCCUAACGUAGGAACUGCCAUUGAUACUGUUAGACUUGAAUUAAUAGGAAGUAACUAGAAUAUGUAGUGUAGCGGUGAAAUGCUUAGAUAUUACAUAGAAUACCGAUUGCGAAGGCAGGUUACUACUAUUUGAUUGACGCUGAUGG